AUUCACCCAGGCAGGAAUCAGCCAGGCUUUAAAGCUGCAAGGCCAUUACAUGCUAAUCAUUCCGGCUAAUUGCAGCAUUCAUACUUGCCUCCAACAGACAAAAAAAAAAAACAGAAAUACUUUAUAUUAACAAGCUUCAGGAAACAAUAUCCCCUAAUGGCACAGCAUGUUAAAGCACUCAGCUGCGGUCAAAGGUUCACAUUGGGGAAGCGCAGUGAGCCCCCAUUGUUAGCCCAAGCUUCUACCAACACAGAAGUUAUAAAACAUGCAAAUAUGAGUAGAUCAAUAGGUACUGCUCCAGCGGGAGGAUAACGGCACUCCAUGCAGUCAUGCCAGCCACAUGACCUUGGAGGUGUCUACAGACAACACCGGCUCUUCGGCUUAGAAAUGGAAAUAAGCACCAAUGCCCAGAGUCAGACAUGACUAGACUUAAUACCUUUAUCUUAACUACCACCAAUUCCUCAAUACUUUAUUUCCCAUACCACCAUACGUUGCCACAGCAACACGUGGCCGGGCACAGCUAUUGUAUUUAUAUUUUGUUUUCAUAAUGAGAAGGAUAUGGUCUUAACAUACGCACAAGCUCUUACAUAUCCAUCGGUUCCUUUAUGGGAUUGAAUAUUUCAACUGGUGGAACAGGUCUACAUUCAGUGCAAGGCUGUGGAAGAGGAAUGACAUCUGCAGCAACAUUGCACAUGGAUCUAUAACAUAAAUAGAUUUACACAUAUGUUUGGUUCAAUACUCAGCUUAGUUGCCCAGCGUUGUCAUUCAGCACAAGGUCUAUGUAACACCAGCAACACAUAACUCCACAUGCAGGUGUUUAUACUACACAGAGCUAAUGAAGGAGCUCAGUCAUAGAAAUAUUUGAUUUUAGUGUUAGCCAUAAUUUGGGGGUGAGUGGGUAGUCAAAAGGCACGGUAUAAAUCUACCGAAUAAAUCUAUAAAUGUGGUUCUCUCUAUUUCUUCCCCCGCCAAAUCGAUGCUGUUUUCUCCUCUUAAUUUAAGCUCAAAAUUAAUGCCGUAUUUUCUUGUAGUCCCAGCUGACAGGCUCAGAGCUCUGGCUUUUAUGUUAUUUAUAAGAAUGUCCAUAAAUUUUGUGUUUCAACUCACAUCUAACUAGAUCCAACCCCCUGAUAGGAUGUUAACCAUCUCAAGCUGACUGGACUAUUAUCUGGGAAAACUAGUGGAUACUGGGAUACAAUAGUGGCCAACGUGAGUGGCGCUAUGACCUAAAGGUGGCAUUUCUGCAGAUCCAACAAUAGCAGAUGAAUGUGCCUUCAGGAUGAAGAUGAAGACUUGGUCUGGCAUCCUGUUGGUGACACAUGAACACACUUCAGCCUGUGUGCAGUCUGGUGUAUUGAGCAAGGUGAAGCUAACCUGAGGUGCGACACCCAUAAAGACAUGCUGACAAUUUGAUCGGGAGGGAGUCUAAGGACAACAAAGCUCCUCAGCAUGGAAGAUGGAGUAACAGCACCCCCUCGAGGCCAGAGUCAAGCACAGCCUCCGGAUGCCAGAAAUGGAAAAAGAUGGGGAAAGCCUUUACCUCUGUUUAUGUACUGUCUGUCCCUGCUAAUUGUAUAACAGCAUUGAAUGUUUGCAGUAUAUGUAUUCUGUAAUCUGCCCUGAGUCCCCUUGGGAAGAUAGAGCAGAAUAUAAAUAAAAUAUAUUAUUAUUUAUUA